rnacentral:lncRNA from 1 species
CAGCUUGACGCUGCCGGUGAACCUGGGGGGGGACGCGGGGGGGUCUCGGCGCUGCCCCCCCCGUGCCCCCCACCCUGCCCUUCCCCGGCCCGGUCCUGCCGGGCCCGCACUCACGGCACGUUGAAGAGCAGCUCCGCGUCCUCAUCGCUCUCCACGAACUGCGGGGACAGGAGCGGGGCGGGGCGGGGGGGGGCUCACACCGGGACCCGGGCACGGCGCAGCCCCGGGCCCCCCCUCCCGGGCCCCCCCCUCCCGGCCCGGCCGCACCUUGUCGCGGUCUCCGCGCUCCUCCCAUGCGCGGAAGACGAGGGCCCCGCUGCCGUCGCGCCGCUCGUUGAGGCAGUGCAGGCGCUGCCGGUCGAUCCGCAGGUUUUAUUCCCGGCAGCCGGCAGGAGACGACAGCAGCAGAGGAGGAGCCCCGGGGGCUGCCGGCCCCCUGCGCAGCACCGGGAGCUCUGUACGAGAUCUACAGGACCAGCAGAGAGAAGGUGGAGAGCUACGAGUUUAUUAAGAUAUACGAUCAGAGAGCAAAGCCUCGGGACUUGAUGCGCUUGCCAAAGGAGCGAUGAGCAAAGGGCCACCAGUGCCACCAGUGCCACCAGUGCCACCUGUCCCGGAGGGCCCGGGGGCAGCCGGGGCCCUGCAGGUACGGGGCUGCGGGGAAAGGCCCUGGGGAGCGGCUCCCCGCGGCUCCCAGCGCCCACCCGGCCGAUUCCUGCCCGCUGGCCAGGAAGGGCGGCCCUUGGACUGGGGCGGGAGGGGGGAGACUACUGGGAGCAACAUAAAUAGUACCGGUGGGCUAGGGGGGCAAGGGAUUAAUUAAAACCUUUUCAUAAUUUAUUAAGAGGUUAAAUAGUAAAUAGUCUCUGGAUUUCCCACUCUCAGCAGGUGCCAAGACUUCACAUUUUCUCAUGUCUGGAGAUUCUGUACACCCUUCUUUUGACAGAAGACAAGGCCAGAAACGGGAUGUCAGGGAGAAGGGAAGUGGGCUUGACACAGAGGAAGGGACAAGAAUAAAAGAUAAAAUACUGU